GCAGAAGAAUCUCUUGAACCCGGGAGGCAGAGGUUGCAGUGAACCGAGAUCGCACCAUUGCAUUCCAGCCUGGGCAACAAGAGUGAAACUCUGUCUCAGGAAAAAAAAAAAAAAGUAUUCACUACUAAUAAAGCCAUGUAUCCUCUCAUAAACCCAUUUUUUUUUUUUACAUUUCUGAAAUAAGAGAGAAUAUGACUCUCUCAGGAAUUUAUAGUUUAGUUACAUUUCUAAGAAACCCUGCUGCUGACAGGCAUGAGUCAGUCAUGUUUCAAGAUCAGUGUGAGCCACUCAUGACUACUAAUCUUCCCAACAUCAGUUCACACUUAGUGAACACUUGUGGGCCUUGGGGAAGUAGACCUUGACGACAGGAAAGUUGAUCAAGAGAUCCCUGCCAUGAAGCAGUUUAGAGAUCUCUCAAGGACAACAGGACACCUGGAUCUUAUCUCCUUUCCCUCAUCCAUAGAAGGAUGUUAUUUAUAAGGUAUUUUAUUGAGGAGAGUCCUCUGGACAUACAGUCCCCAAAGGAGUUUCCCUCUUUAAGGAAGAAAGGAAAGUAUUUUCCUGGACACCAGAUAUGCUGAGUUGGGACAUGAGCUAAAGAAAGAGGAACUCACUCUGUUGCCCAGGCUGGAAUGCAGUUGC